rnacentral:rRNA from 1 species
AUGUCCAAGACAGCCCAAGCAAUUAAUGAGGCAAGUUGGCAGGAAACUUUUAAAGCUCUUUGGAUUUCUGCCCUUCGUCUUGUACAGCGGGCUAGAGAACCUCUAGAGGGUCCAAUUCCUCAUCUAGACACAAGAUUAUGCAUGCUAUUAGCUCUUAUUCCACUAGCAAUUGCUGCAAUUCUCAAGGAAGAAACUGAUGCAUGUAGAGCUGAAGGAAACAAAAGUCUGCCCCGAAGACUAGGACUUGUAUCUUCUCUUCAGGAUUUGGUGCAAUAUUCAGGACUUCUUGUACCACCUUCAUCGUUGGUGAAUGUGGCCAAUGCUGCGGCUUCAAAAGCUGCAAUAUUUAGGGCCAACUGUAAGGUUGUUGGUGGCAACCCUAGCAUGAUUGGUCAGAGUCACUCUUCGACGAAAGCUGUUGGAAACAUGCUACAUCUUAUAGUUGAAGCCUGUAUUUCGAGGAAUUUGAUUGACACAACUGCUUACUUGUGGCCUGGUUAUGUUGUACUACCGGGGCAUUCAAAGAAUACAUCUUUACCCCAGGAAUCGCCAUGGGUAAACUUUAUGCAAGGAGCUCCACUAUCUGAUCCACUGAAAAAUGCUCUCAUUGCUACUCCUGCUUCAAGUGUUGCAGAACUGGAUAAACUGUACCACAUCGCAUUGAAUGGUUCAGAACAAGAAAAGUCAGCUGCAGCUAAAAUUGUGUGCGGUGCAUCACUUGUGCGGGGUUGGAAUAUUCAGGAACAUGUCGUCCGCAUGGUGGUCAAGUUAUUGUCGCCUCCUUUGCCCUCAGAUUCUUCAUUACAGGGGAGCAUGAGCCACUACCUUAGUCAGAAGUCUACCUUAAAUGCAAUCUUACUUGGUGUCUCAUAUGUCGAUGCUGUCAACAUUUUUUCUUUGUAUGGAAUGGUUCCAGAUGUUGCCGCCAGUCCAUCGCUGAUGUGGAGGCCAGAUCACAACCAUUUAUCAAGGGGCAACCAUUUGACCACAUUGCGCACGAGAAUCUAG